CCUACGGGGGGCUGCAGUAACGAAUCUUCCGCAAUGCACGAAAGUGUGACGGAGCGACGCCGCGUGGAGGACGAAGUUCUUCGGAAUGUAAACUCCUGUCAGGGGUAAGAAAGUUCUGAUCUACCCCAGAGGAAGGCACGGCUAACUCUGUGCCAGCAGCCGCGGUAAGACAGAGGUGCCGAGCGUUAGGCGGAAUCACUGGGCUUAAAGCGUGUGUAGGCGGGCGGGCAAGUACCUUGUGAAAUCCCACGGCUCAACCGUGGAACGGCUGGGUAUACUGCCUGUCUUGAGCCAACUAGGGGCGAGCGGAACAGACGGUGGAGCGGUGAAAUGCGUAGAUAUCGUCUGGAACGCCGAAGGUGAAAACAGCUCGCUGGGGUUGUGCUGACGCUGAGACACGAAAGCCAGGGGAGCGAACGGGAUUAGAUACCCUUGUAGUC
rnacentral:rRNA from 1 species